UACGUAGGGGCCUAGCGUUGUCCGGAUUUAUUGGGCGUAAAGAGCUUGUAGGCGGUUUGUCGCGUCUGCUGUGAAAUUUCGGGGCUCAACCCCGAACUUGCAGUGGGUACGGGCAGACUAGAGUGUGGUAGGGGAGACUGGAAUUCCUGGUGUAGCGGUGAAAUGCGCAGAUAUCAGGAGGAACACCGAUGGCGAAGGCAGGUCUCUGGGCCAUAACUGACGCUGAGAAGCGAAAGCAUGGGGAGCGAACAGG
rnacentral:rRNA from 1 species